rnacentral:tRNA from 1 species
GUUAUUUUGGCAGAAUAGUGCCAUUGAUUUAGAAUCUUUAAAAGUAAAUUUGAUUUACAAAUAACA